AUACUACUCCCUCCGUCCGAAAAUACUUGUCAUCAAAAUAGACAAAAAGGGAUGUAUCUAAAACUAAAAUACAUCUAGAUACAUCCUCUUUUAUUCAUAUUGAUGACAAGUAUUUCCGGACGGAGGGAGUAUAUG
rnacentral:pre_miRNA from 1 species